rnacentral:snoRNA from 1 species
GUUCAAUGAUGACAUAAAGGCUAAUGUGACUUGACUAGCUGGGUUGCACCCUCGGCCCAUUCCAGUAAUACGGGUCUGUAAUCUUGGUGAACAAGCUGAGCUGUGCAUGUUCGCUGUAAGGGCAGGCCGACAAAAAGUCCCCUUCCCCAUGUCCCUGGGAAAUACAUCUUUGGGAUGCAUCAGCUUUGCGUGAGUGUUUCUUUGAGCUGAUAUGGGGUCGUGGAGAUAGGACAGGACAGCGCUUCCAAGGUUUGGGUUGCAGGGGGCAGCCCUUGUUACAGCUGUCAAGAUGUGAGCACACAUCUUUGGUAAUCUGAUGACU